GAUGAACGCUGGCGGCGUGCCUAAUACAUGCAAGUCGAGCGAAUGGAUUAAGAGCUUGCUCUUAUGAAGUUAGCGGCGGACGGGUGAGUAACACGUGGGUAACCUGCCCAUAAGACUGGGAUAACUCCGGGAAACCGGGGCGAAUACCGGAUAACAUUUUGAACCGCAUGGUUAGAAAUUGACAGGCGGCUUCGGCUGUCACUUAUGGAUGGACCCGCGUCGCAUUAGCUAGUUGGUGAGGUAACGGCUCACCAAGGCAACGAUGCGUAGCCGACCUGAGAGGGUGAUCGGCCACACUGGGACUGAGACACGGCCCAGACUCCUACGGGAGGCAGCAGUAGGGAAUCUUCCGCAAUGGACGAAAGUCUGACGGAGCAACGCCGCGUGAGUGAUGAAGGCUUUCGGGUCGUAAAACUCUGUUGUUAGGGAAGAACAAGUGCUAGUUGAAUAAGCUGGCACCUUGACGGUACCUAACCAGAAAGCCACGGCUAACUACGUGCCAGCCGCCGCAGUAA
rnacentral:rRNA from 1 species